CAGUUCCGCGAUCACUGAGACCCGAACGGGACGCCACACUUUCGCUGCUGAUCCUCAUUAAAAUCAAUCGUUCGGCAACCCACCGGGGGUUGCAUCCCCAACGAUGACAGCUAGUGGUUUAUGUCGCAGCAAGAAGGUGGCUUUCCUAGUGGUCUGCGUUCUAUGGCUAAGUUGUAUCACUUCCAAAGCAUUAGUGGUGAAAGCGGGCGAAGGGUGCGAGUGGCAGUACGCGUGCUGCGAGUGGGUUCAGGUGAACGGAUCGUGCAAAAGCCUCUGCCCGAAGCCAACCAUUGUGUGUCCGGCGGAAGAAACAAGCACCAGCGAUCCGGUCAGGAUACACUCGCCGAAAGUGAUCGUGACCGCACCCUGCAAUGAAGGCUACCGGCGUGAUCAUACCCAGCGGUGUCGGAAAAUUUUUGAAGAACUUGUCUAUUUCUGAGAUCUUCUGACGGUUGAAAUCUCUCCAAUGUUUGAACAAAUGGAACGGCUGGAAGUGUCGGUACCAAAACUAUACUUCCGUUGAAGAAUAACGGAGAUAGUGACAACCAAACAAUCCAACAUCAGAGGCGUUGGACAUGCUAUUUGCAAUAAAAUCCCAACGAAUCACAUUAUCCAACAAACACACAUCGAAUCGCAGUGCAUCUGACACCACUAAACCAAUCGGACGGAAAUCGGCAAAGUGUGUCCUGCGCAUCGCGGCCUCACUCACCCCAGCAAGCAAAACCCAUCACAGCAACGUGCAGCCUUCGGUAAUCGUACAUUGACCGGGAACGGUCCACUGGAACGGACAAAGCAGUGCGCGGGGAUGGCGAAUGAUGCUGGUUUUAGUGGAAUAUUUAGUUACAUCAUAAUAGCUAAUACGCCCUGUAAUCUUAUUGGUUUUGGCAGGUUAAAGUUUCCUAUGUCAACUGAGGGUUUUUGUUGUUGCUGUUGCUAUUGUUGGCUACUGCUGGCUUGCUGGUUGGCUCACCCCACUCGCACCAGGAACUGAUUUGUAUUUAAUCCGUAGCCUUAAUUAGAUUUCACUCCUGCCCCUUCUGUCACGCCCCCACUUCAACUGCAGCAAGGACGUGUGGGCACGUGCGGUCGACGGUUGCUUUAUUCCUUCUCCUCGUUCGAUAGGCAAUCGAUACCAAAUCCGUAUCCACCGCGGACAUAUCUCUUCCUCUCUCUCUCUCUCUCUCUCUCUCUCUCUCUCUCUUUCUCUCUAUCUGCCCCCGUUUUGCUCUAUGUUUGAUGCUCCUCUUUCACUCGCUGAACCCAACGACAGGCGCUCACCCAAUACCCACGGACCCGGCCACGGCAAUAAGAUUCGCUACGACGCUUCGCUGCAAAUGGUCCGGAAUUUCCUUCCUUGUUUUGCUUCCUUCGUCAAUUUCGCUUGACCGCUGCCGAGGGAUCACCAGGCUACCGAGUGGAAAGCAGGGCUGUAGCGCAGUGGCACUAAAAUAAAAUAAAAUAAACACAAAGCACUGGUUCGGCACAAAAAAAACACAACAGGGACGAGGGAUGGAACGAGCUGGUUCGGUAUUUCCCCCCUUCCUUCUCCUCCCCUCGCAACUAGUCCAACCCAGCACGCAGACACAGUACAAAUAGAAAAAUAAUAAUGUCCGAUUCCGGAUAUUUAUCACGUGCCAUUGCCGGUGAUGUGUAAAUUCCCGUGUAUUCCGGGAUUCCUUCCGCUCUGCCCGGGACGGACGAUUUUUCAUCUUCAGCUAGCAAAACAUGCCCACGCCACCACCAACCCUCUUGCUCAGUAGAACUGUCAGAAAGCAAAUAAAUUUUACAAUUCCGUUCCAUAUCCGAUCGUUCGCACACAAACAGACACACACACACUCGGUAGCUUUCUAUUUGGUGCCCCGAACGGGUGCAAACGCUUCACGUUGCCCGUUUGCCUUUCGGUGGAAUUGUUUUAGUUCAGUGAUUUUCCUUCCUCCUUUCCCCCACCAGUGAAAUCUCUUGAGACGGCAGGAAGGCACGGCACGGAGUGAUUCUUCAUCUUUUGCCCCAAGGCCAUCGCCACUGCUAGCGGAACCGGAACCGGGCUAAAGUGGCUAUUUUUCUUGACUCGUUCCGCUCCCGGUCAAUGGCCAGACGAUCACGCUGCCUGCCGAUGCCGAUGAUGGCGACGGUGAGGAUGAUGAUGAUGAUGAUGAUGACGAUGGAAUUUAUCGAAAUUGCUUGCAGGAAACAAGAUCGACACCCCCUUCACUUAACCCGAUGCCCAAACCAAAAAAUCCGUCCACCUGUUCCGAGUAUCCGAGCUUGGCAAACCUGCUGAUACCGUUCUGCGGAUUUUCACCCGAGAAAAUUCUGUCAGAUUUCCUCCCAAAACACACACACACACUCACACAAUUAUUCGUGCGAGAAUCCCAGUAAAGGGAUUGAUAUCCUUUUGAUUUGUCGGUAUCGUUUUGUUCCGGCUUGCCGACGCAUUCCCAGGCUCCCGCGCUGUUGUGCAAUCAAACAACGGAGAAGGGCACAAAAUUGAAUUCACUAACCUCCUUUACCAUUUCUCCCACCAAGCGUUGGGUCGACGAGUCCGGUACAGACGAGAAGAAAUAAAGCAAAAAGCAUCCCGUUUGGUUCCGAUAUGUUAUGACGGGAAGUGUAAACCCUUCAAACGGCAGCAGGCCUGUUCGAUUUGACACGAUAACGCAUGAACCUCCCGGGACCGUGGCGGAGGGGUUUGAGGUCAGAAAAAUGGGUUCGGGAAAAAAGGCACCGGGGAAAAUUGGGAACAUCACAAUGAAGGAUGCGGAUAUAGGAGCGUGUAAGAGAAUAGUACAGGCAAAAAACAGGAAGAAGAAAAAAGAAACAUCAACAUGUCAAGCAGGAAAGCAGGAAAACAACCGAAAUCUGAUAAUCCUUUUCAAAUCAUCCUACGUAUUGUGUGCUUGUGUGCCGGGUGGGUAAGCUGGGUGGCAGCGAGGGCAGUGCUGUCGGCGUCUCGGGGCAAGUGUCAUCAUCGGCAAAAAUGGCACAAAAUCAAUGUCUGUGCCGAUGAUUGGUCUGGCGCAUUCGCGGUGACGAGUUAAGUGCGAUCGUGUUAUGCCGCCGUAGUCCGUUUCGCCUUAUAUUUCGUCCUUCGCUGCCAGCGCCACCAUUCUUUCCCGGUUCUUAAUGCUGAGGCGCGGGAUCGAAACAAAGAAAACAUUUCUGCUGGUUUAUUACAAUCAUUUCCCCCGGGGGCGAUGCACACCCGUCAGUUGCCCGUACUCGAUAGACCGCGGUAGACUAGGGGCCGGUUUGCCCCCGACGGGUAUAAAACACCUCCGGGGCGCAAACCUCGGCGCAAAACACAGGAUCGUAUGAAGUACGUGUAAUUGAAAUUUGAAUCACUUCAAAGUUGUUUCAAGUUGACAAAAGUAUGGCUAAAGCCCCGAGGCCAUAUUUGGGUUGGCGAAGGAUAAACGUAAACUUUCGGUGACGUGUAUGUGUGUGUGUGUGUGUGUGUGUGUGGAAGCAAUCAACAGCAGCGUGGCUAAGCCGGUCCGUCGUGAUCAAAGCAAAUUGGCUUAGUUUUUGAAUGCCAAUGACAAGAAAAGCGGAAGAUUACCAUAAUCAUGAUUCAUAUAGGGUAGGGUAGAUUUGUUGUUUGUUUGUAGAAAAAGACUUAAAAUAGGAUAAAAGAUGAGAUUGCAAUUACACAUUCAUCUAUUGAGUUAUGUUAAUAGAUUGUUCAAUAGAAUAGCAGAUAUGUAUUUUUAGUUAUUAAUGGAUGUUUAGUACAGAAAAUUUACCUUUUAACCAAAUCAUAAUGUAAAAAUGUGGCUAAGCUAACAUAAUAUAAAGAACUAGUUAUUGAAGCAUUUACUAUUAUUUUCUAAUCAACAAAAAGGUUAAUAAAACCUUUUAUUAACAUUUUUUAGACUUAUUAUGUUUGGAUUUCAUCUACAUUAUUACCAAAAAAAUGAAGCGUAAAAUGAAUCGUCAAAUCUUUUAUCUCAAUUUGACGUUGAGAAGACUUGAUUGAUGGGAUAGAAUAAGCCUCUUCGUGAGUUCAAGCAAAAUAUUAGGUAAGAAAUACGCCUAUCUACAGCAGACUUAAAACGCUUCUGGCUAUUAUUGGAAUAUUGUUUACCAAAGUGCAAUAGAAAUGAACAUCUGAGUGGAGCGGUAUGCAAAAUUCUGCCUUCUCCAGGUCCAUUUAAUUAAACAUCACUGCUCCACCGAAGAAAC